GACGAACGCUGGCGGCGUGCCUAAUACAUGCAAGUAGGACGCAGUUGCGAACGGGUGAGUAACGCGUAGGUAACUACCUAUUAGAGGGGGAUAACUAUUGGAAACGAUAGCUAAUACCGCAUACUAGUAGAUGGACCUGCGUUGUAUUAGCUAGUAGGUAGGGUAAUGGCCUCCCUAGGCAACGAAACAUAGCCGACCUUGGAGGGGGAUCGGCCACACUGGGACUGGGACACGGCCCAGACUCCUACGGGAGGCCGCAGGUGGGAAGUUUCGGAAAUUGGGGGAACCCUGACCGAGCAACGCCGCGUGAUUGGAGAAGGUUUUCGGAUCUUAAAGCUCUUUUGUUAAGGAAGCGGUACUUAACCAGAAAGGGACGGCUAACUACGUGCCAGCAGCCGCGGUAAUUC
rnacentral:rRNA from 1 species